GUGGAAGGGAGCUUGCCCCCGAUGGCGCUGGGUCAGUCAACUUAUUCAUCAACUGACCUCCCCUUAUCGGGGGCAAGCCCCCUCCCAC
rnacentral:misc_RNA from 1 species